rnacentral:rRNA from 1 species
AUUAGAUACCCUGGUAGUCCACGCUGUAAACGAUGUCUACUAGCCGUCGGGUCCUUAGUGACUUUGGUGGCGCAGCUAACGCGAUAAGUAGACCGCCUGGGGAGUACGGCCGCAAGGUUAAAACUCAAAUGAAUUGACGGGGGCCGCACAAGCGGUGGAGCAUGUGGUUUAAUUCGAUGCAACGCGAAGAACCUUACCAGGUCUUGACAUCCUCGGAACUUGGCAGAGAUGCCUUGGUGCCUUCGGGAGCCGAGUGACAGGUGCUGCAUGGCCGUCGUCAGCUCGUGUCGUGAGAUGUUGGGUUAAGUCCCGUAACGAGCGCAACCCUUGUCCUUAGUUGCCAGCACGUCAUGGUGGGAACUCUAGGGAGACUGCCGGUGACAAACCGGAGGAAGGUGGGGACGACGUCAGGUCAUCAUGGCCCUUACGACCUGGGCUACACACGUGCUACAAUGGCUGGUACAGAGGGUUGCUAAGUCGCGAGGCGGAGCUAAUCCCUUAAAGCCAGUCGUAGUCCGGAUCGGAGUCUGCAACUCGACUCCGUGAAGUCGGAAUCGCUAGUAAUCGCGGAUCAGAAUGCCGCGGUGAAUACGUUCCCGGGCCUU